rnacentral:rRNA from 1 species
GACAGAGGGUGCAAACGUUGUUCGGAAUUACUGGGCGUAAAGCGCGUGUAGGCGGCUAUGCAAGUCGGACGUGAGAUCCCACGGCUCAACCGUGGAAGUGCGCUCGAAACUGCGUAGCUAGAGUCCUGGAGAGGAAGGUGGAAUUCCUGGUGUAGCGGUGGAAUGCGCAGAUAUCAGGAGGAACACCAAUAGCGAAGGCAGCUCGCUGGGACGUUACUGACACUGAGGCGCGAAAGCGUGGGGAGCGAACAGG